rnacentral:rRNA from 1 species
CAUGUAGGCGGCGUGCCAAGUGCAUGGUGAAAUCCCACGGCUCACCCGUGGAACUGCUGUGCAUACUGGCGUGCUCGAGGACGGUAGGGGAGAGCGGAACUCUUGGUGGAGCGGUGAAAUGCGUAGAUAUCAAGAGGAACACCGAAGGCGAAGGCAGCUCUCUGGUCCGUUUCUGACGCUGAGGUGCGAAAGCCAGGGUAGCGAACG